AGAGUUUGAUCCUGGCUCAGGGCGAACGCUGGCGGCGUGCCUAAAACAUGCAAGUCGAGCGGGGGUUGGCCGCGGGGCAACCCGCGGUUUCAGCUCUAGCGGCGAACGGGUGAGUAACACGUGGGCAACCUGCCCCGAAGACGGGGAUAACCUCGGGAAACCGGGGCUAAUACCCGAUACCCUCCCCUGGGGGCAUCCCCGGGAGAGGAAAGGGUUGGGCGCAAGCCCUUCCGCUUCGGGAUGGGCCCGCGGCCUAUCAGCUCGUUGGUGGGGUAACGGCCCACCAAGGCGAUGACGGGUAGCUGGCCUGAGAGGGUGGUCAGCCACACUGGGACUGAGACACGGCCCAGACUCCUACGGGAGGCAGCAGUUGGGAAUCUUGGGCAAUGGGCGCAAGCCUGACCCAGCGACGCCGCGUGGGGGAUGAAGGCCUUCGGGUUGUAACCCCCUGUCAGGAGGGACGAAGCCCACUCCUCGAGGGUGGGUGACGGUACCUCCAGAGGAAGCCCCGGCUAACUACGUGCCAGCAGCCGCGGUAAGACGUAGGGGGCGAGCGUUGCCCGGAUUUACUGGGCGUAAAGCGGGUGUAGGCGGCCGGGUAAGUCCCGUGUGAAAGCCCACGGCUCAACCGUGGGACGUCGCGGGAAACUGCUCGGCUUGAGGGCAGCAGAGGGUGGUGGAAUUCCCGGUGUAGCGGUGAAAUGCGUAGAGAUCGGGAGGAACGCCAGUGGCGAAGGCGGCCACCUGGGCUGUCCCUGACGCUCAGACCCGAAAGCUGGGGGAGCGAACGGGAUUAGAUACCCCGGUAGUCCCAGCCCUAAACGAUGCUCACUAGGUGUCGGGGGGUCACUCCCUCGGUGCCGAAGCUAACGCAUUAAGUGAGCCGCCUGGGGAGUACGGCCGCAAGGCUAAAACUCAAAGGAAUUGACGGGGACCCGCACAAGCGGUGGAGCAUGUGGUUUAAUUCGAUGCUAAGCG
rnacentral:rRNA from 1 species